GAUUCAAACAGCGGAUAAUACAAGCCAAAGUUUUCUUUCUGUGGAAAAGUUGAUGCGCCUUUUAAGAAGUGAACAACCAAGUUAUUUGCCUGGAAAAGUCUCCUGAAAUACUGAAGUUAUGCUAAAGAAGGAGAAGAGAAAGGAAGCUGCAGUCCCUGUAUAACUCCUAAAUUUUUAAUUUGGAGUUCCUCUUCUUCGGUGCAACAAUCUUUCUGCAUGCACAGAUCCAUGUGGCACUCAUCUCAUCAUUCUGAGGGAAGAAAGAUGCAUAGGGAAUGUUGCAUGUGGUUAUUUCUAUUUCUCUCAAGUGCACAUUAUCCAUCAAGAAGAUUUAAAUCAUUUUGAAAUAUUAAUAUAAUGAUCAAAAAUUAACUUUUAUACAUGUUAUUAGGCAGAACCCACAGAAAACAAUAAAGCACGAGAGAAAAGAGGAUGGCAGUUUACCCAGGAAACAUAGGUUGUGCAAAGCUUUGCAAUGAUACUCUCAAUUCAGAGCAAUGAAGAACAGAAUGCUGUCUUCCCAUAAUGAUGGCAUUCAAUUAUCACUAGACUUACAAGACUACAGAAAAUUUCUCAAGAACCAGUAAGGAUCAGACAGAGCCAAUGACAAUACUGAAGAAGCUUGCCAGUGGAGAAUGAAAGCUCAGUUACACAAAUUACGUUGUUGAACCAGUGCCAGAAAUAAAAUGUGAUGGACAAACUCAUUAAUUAUGAGCGUGAACCAGACAAAACUGAGAAUAAGGUGGGAAUUCCUUCAUAAUCUGUCCCUACUUAGUUGCACCAUAACCAUAAAUAUUGUAAGAGGCAAAAGAGUGGUAAAAAGCUCAUUAACACUGAGAUUAUUCUUGUUAAUUCAUCUGAAUGAGACCUUAACGUACAAAAUAACUUGAAUUACAGAAAAUGUUGAAAAGUUGUAUUUCUUGCACAUCUAAGAUUGAGAGGGAGAUAUAUGUGUGAAUUGUCACGAAAGGCCAUCUUCAAGAUAUCACAAUCAAUCUGUAGAUUAAGGUCAGCCAAUAUAAUAUUCCAACCUGAACCUUUGAAAACUGAACAGGAGUGAGUAUAAUAAUCUCUAGAAAAGCAUCAGUUAAGAUUCUAGCUUGGCCAUCUCCAUCAUCUGUGUCCUUUAUUUCUAAUAACCUUCAAGUUUUCUAUAUAUGACAUUAUCUUUCCAGUCUCCUCGGAAAAAUUGCUCUUCACUUCAAUUAGUUUGAAUCAGUUUAUUUUGCUUUCCACCAAGAGCUGAAAUUUUUCUAAACCUGCACACUCACUUAUGAAGUCCCUAGAGAUUACACGUUACUUGUGUUCCUUAGUCUUCAUUCCUUGUUCUUAUCCUGUUUACUCUUCUAUGCAUCAAUUCUGUGAGAGGCAAAACCAAUUUUUAUGUGUGUAAAAGGGAAAAAAACAUAUGUGCAUAACUAAUGACUUCUGAAAUUUAUUAUGACAAGAACCCUCCCACUCAGAAGAAUUAUGAAGGCUUGUUGUAAAAAAUAAGAAAAUAAGUCUUUGAUAAUGACAGACAACAAUUAGGUUGCUUGGACUUCAGAAUUUUAUUCUAAAUAAACCUUCUAAACUGAACUUACUACCCCAAACCUUGCCUCAAUCUGCCUGUGAUAGUAAGGUAAGAUUUAUUCAAUUCACCAAGUCAGCUAAGAUCAGGUUAACUCUUGCCUUCUCAAAGUGUCCCACUAUCAAGAUAUCCAAGGUAAUCACACCUCUCCUGCAACAAAAAUUUACAAAUACAGCAAGAAUGGUAUAAGAACAAACAUGUGUCCUUACAUUGGUCCUAUUGUGUCCAGAAUUGGUGGGUUCUUGGUCUCACUGACUUCAAGAAUGAAGCCGCGGACCCUCACGGUGAGUGUUACAGUUCUUAAAGAUGGUGUGUCUGCAAUUGUUCAUUUUUUCCAGUGGGUUCAUGGUCUGGCUGGCCUCAGUAGUGAAGCUGCAGGCCUUCAUCUUUAGUGUCACAGUUCCUAAAGGUGGCACGUCCAGAGUUGUUCGUUCCUCCCAUCCAGAGUUAUUCGCCCCUCCUGGUGGGUGGAUUCAUGAUCUCGCUGGCUUCAGGAGUGAAGCUGCAGACCUUCUCGGUGAGAGUUACAGCUCAUAAAGAUGGUGCAGACCGAAAGAAUAAGCAGCAGCAAGAUUUAUUGCAAAGAGCAAAAGAAGCAAAGCUUCCCCAUCACGGAA
rnacentral:lncRNA from 1 species